rnacentral:rRNA from 1 species
GACGUAGGGCGCGAGCGUUGUCCGGAUUUAUUGGUCGUAAAGCGCUCGUAGGCGGUUUGUCGCGUCUGCUGUGAAAACUCGAGGCUCAACCUCGGGCCUGCAGUGGGUACGGGCAGACUAGAGUGCGGUAGGGGAGACUGGAAUUCCUGGUGUAGCGGUGGAAUGCGCAGAUAUCAGGAGGAACACCGAUGGCGAAGGCAGGUCUCUGGGCCGCAACUGACGCUGAGGAGCGAAAGCAUGGGGAGCGAACAGG